rnacentral:rRNA from 1 species
CUACGGGGGGCACCAGUGAGGAAUAUUGGUCAAUGGACGAGAGUCUGAACCAGCCAUCCCGCGUGCAGGAUGACGGCCCUAUGGGUUGUAAACUGCUUUUCUAUACCAAGAAACCUGUCUACGUGUAGACAAUUGCCGGUAGUAUAGGAAUAAGCAUCGGCUAACUCCGUGCCAGCAGCCGCGGUAAUACGGAGGAUGCAAGCGUUAUCCGGAUUCAUUGGGUUUAAAGGGUGCGCAGGUGGGAUAGUAAGUCAGUGGUGAAAGCUUGCCGCUUAACGGUAAAACUGCCAUUGAUACUGGUGUUCUUGAGUAUGGUUGAGGUAGGCAGAAUGUGUUGUGUAGCGGUGAAAUGCAUAGAUAUGACACAGAACGCCGAUUGCGAAGGCAGCUUACUAAGCCAUUACUGACGCUGAGGCACGAAAGCGUGGGGAGCGAACAGGAUUAGAUACCCGAGUAGUC